rnacentral:tRNA from 1 species
AUUUGAUAACCAGGGUCUGGGUCUGUGUUUCGGCCACAGCUGCGAGAAUAAAUAUUUCUCUAUCAAAUG